rnacentral:rRNA from 1 species
AACGAACGCUGGCGGCAUGCCUAACACAUGCAAGUCGAACGAGACCUUCGGGUCUAGUGGCGCACGGGUGCGUAACGCGUGGGAACCUGCCCUUAGGUUCGGAAUAACUCCCCGAAAGGGGUGCUAAUACCGGAUAAUGUCUUCGGACCAAAGAUUUAUCGCCUUUGGAUGGGCCCGCGUUGGAUUAGCUAGUUGGUAGGGUAAAAGCCUACCAAGGCGACGAUCCAUAGCUGGUCUGAGAGGAUGAUCAGCCACACUGGGACUGAGACACGGCCCAGACUCCUACGGGAGGCAGCAGUGGGGAAUAUUGGACAAUGGGCGAAAGCCUGAUCCAGCAAUGCCGCGUGAGUGAUGAAGGCCUUAGGGUUGUAAAACUCUUUUACCCGGGAUGAUAAUGACAGUACCGGGAGAAUAAGCGCCGGCUAACUCCGUG